rnacentral:rRNA from 1 species
AGUCGAACGAGAUCUUCGGGUCUAGUGGCGCACGGGUGCGUAACGCGUGGGAAUCUGCCCUUUGGUUCGGAAUAACAGUUGGAAACGACUGCUAAUACCGGAUGAUGACGAAAGUCCAAAGAUUUAUCGCCGGAGGAUGAGCCCGCGUAGGAUUAGCUAGUUGGUGUGGUAAAGGCGCACCAAGGCGACGAUCCUUAGCUGGUCUGAGAGGAUGAUCAGCCACACUGGGACUGAGACACGGCCCAGACUCCUACGGGAGGCAGCAGUGGGGAAUAUUGGACAAUGGGCGAAAGCCUGAUCCAGCAAUGCCGCGUGAGUGAUGAAGGCCUUAGGGUUGUAAAGCUCUUUUACCCGGGAUGAUAAUGACAGUACCGGGAGAAUAAGCUCCGGCUAACUCCGUGCCAGCAGCCGCGGUAAUACGGAGGGAGCUAGCGUUGUUCGGAAUUACUGGGCGUAAAGCGCACGUAGGCGGCUUUGUAAGUUAGAGGUGAAAGCCUGGAGCUCAACUCCAGAACUGCCUUUAAGACUGCAUCGCUUGAAUCCAGGAGAGGUGAGUGGAAUUCCGAGUGUAGAGGUGAAAUUCGUAGAUAUUCGGA